AUUGAACGCUGGCGGCAGGCCUAACACAUGCAAGUCGAGCGAGCGGCGGACGGGUGAGUAAUGUCUGGGAAACUGUCUGUUGGCGGGGGAUAACUACUGGAAACGGUAGCUAAUACCGCAUACCAUCAGAUGUGCCCAGAGGGGAUUAGCUAGUGGGUGGGGUAAUGGCCCACCUAGGCGACGAUCCCUAGCUGGUCUGAGAGGAUGACCAGCCACACUGGGACUGAGACACGGUCCAGACUCCUACGGGAGGCAGCAGUGGGGAAUAUUGCACAAUGGGCGCAAGCCUGAUGCAGCCAUGCCGCGUGUAUGAAGAAGGCCUUCGGGUUGUAAAGUACUUUCGGCGGGGAAGCGUUACCCGCAGAAGAAGCACCGGCUAACUCCGUGCCAGCAGCCGCGGUAAUAC
rnacentral:rRNA from 1 species